AAGCAAAACCAACAACCCCCAUAGAUACGUGUUUGUCUUUUCGGAACAAACAAACAAUAAAUAGCAAGAUAAGAAAACAAAAGCCAAAGAAAAGAAGACAAACUGCCUCGGUGCAAAGGAAAAUGAUUCAUCAGCAGAAGGAGACCUUCCAUCUUCUCCUCUAAAUAGAAAUCAUCCAAACCCGAAAUUCUGAUCGUCUUCUCCUCCAAAUAGAAAUCGUCGAUCAAGUCCCUUCAGGAAGCAGCAAUGACCGUCGAUCUUUGUCAACCAUCUCAGCAGCUUAAUGACGUACAUCUUCAACCCAGAAUUGAGAGUUGCCCAGCUUAAAACCAUUUUUAGCAAUUUUAUGAGCAACAAUAUUUGAAUCUCGAUCUACAUGUUGAAAUAAAAAAAAUUAAUGGCCAUCAUUCUAAUAUCUUCAAUAAAAAUUCCAAUCACAGAUCUAUCCGUGACCCCUCUAUGAGCCUUCAUUAUGGUCAUUCCAGAGUUCCCCUCAACCACCACCAGUGAGAACCCCAUUUCCUCAGCAAAGGUUAAGGCUUAAAGACAUGCCAAAGCCUUAGUCGAGAAAGCAUCUGCAACGUUACUAUUCAGAAUCGACCCUUUUCCCAUAACCAGCCCUAAGUUAUUUCUCAUGACGAAACCUGAGCAAGACUGAUGUAGAUUUUGUUUAAACGCUGCAUCGAAAUUAAUCUUUACAACCGCUCUUCAGGGGGCAACCACUUGACAACAUUGAUCUCUGCUUCUCAGGUCCACACUUCAGAAUGGCAUGCAUGGCUGAUUCUGGAAACAAGCCACACCUUAGACAUAAAGGAGAAGGCGCAAUUCACCUAUCGUAUAGGAUAUAUGCAGUAGGGAUCACACUAUGUAUUAGUCUCCAAAUAGUGAUUUUAAUUUUAGAAGGGAUGUCUAGGAGCCAUAAUUUUUUUGUAAACUGCACUGUAAUCUUGGGAGUUUUCCUCUGUAUUUUAAUGGUCGAUGAGGAUCCUGUAGCCACUACGGAUAGAAUACCCGCCGGAGCUAUCACCCCUCUAUACAAUCAUGUCUUCGUCAACCGAGCGGGAUAAAGGGAUACACUUGAUGGCCUUAGCUUCCUCCAAAGUAAACACACUAGUAAUGACUUCCUCUUUCCAACUUUUUGAGUUGUGAUCUAGUCUGCUACCGUAGAAACUGUAUUAUUAA